rnacentral:rRNA from 1 species
UGAGCUCAGAUUGAACGCUGGCGGCACCUUUACACAUGCAAGUCGAGCGGCAGCGCGGGGGUGCUUGCACCUGGCGGCGAGCGGCGGACGGGUGAGUAAUGCAUGGGAAUAUGCCCGACAGAGGGGGAUAACUUUGGGAAACCAAAGCUAAUACCGCAUACGCUCUACGGAGGAAAGCGGGGGAUCUUCGGACCUCGCACUGACGGAGUAGCCCAUGUCCGAUUAGCUUGUUGGGGUGGUAACGGCACACCAAGGCGAUGAUCGGUAGCUGGUCUGAGAGGAUGAUCAGCCACACCGGGACUGAGACACGGCCCGGACUCCUACGGGAGGCAGCAGUGGGGAAUAUUGGACAAUGGGGGCAACCCUGAUCCAGCGAUGCCGCGUGAGUGAAGAAGGCCUUCGGGUUGUAAAGCUCUUUCGCAGGGGAAGAAACGGCGAUGGUGAAUAAUCAUCGCUACUGACGGUACCCUGAUAAGAAGCACCGGCUAACUACGUGCCAGCAGCCGCGGUAAUACGUAGGGUGCAAGCGUUAAUCGGAAUUACUGGGCGUAAAGCGUGCGUAGGCGGCUAUGCAAGUCAGAUGUGAAAGCCCCGGGCUUAACCUGGGAACGGCGUUUGAAACUGCAUAGCUAGAGUUCGGCAGGGGAAGAUGGAAUUCCAUGUGUAGCGGUGAAAUGCGUAGAUAUAUGGAAGAACACUAAUGGCGAAGGCACUCUUCUGGGCCGACACUGACGCUGAGUCACUAAAGCGUGGGGAGCAAACAGGAUUAGAUACCCUGG